CCUACGGGAGGCAGCAGUGAGGAAUAUUGGUCAAUGGGCGGAAGCCUGAACCAGCCAAGUAGCGUGCGGGAUGAAGGCCCUACGGGUCGUAAACCGCUUUUGCACGGGGACAACACCCUCCACUUGUGGAGGUCUGCAGGUACCGUGCGAAUAAGGGCCGGCUAAUUCCGUGCCAGCAGCCGCGGUAAUACGGAAGGCCCGAGCGUUAUCCGGAUUCAUUGGGCUUAAAGGGAGCGUAGGCGGGCGUUCAAGUCAGCGGUAAAAUCGCGCGGCUCAACCGCGCCCCGCAGUUGAAACUGGACGCAUUGAGUGCACAACAGGCAGGCGGAAUUCGUGGUGUAGCGGUGAAAUGCAUAGAUAUCACGAGGAACCCCGAUUGCGAAGGCAGCCUGCCGGGGUGCGACUGACGCUGAGGCUCGAAGGUGCGGGUAUCAAACAGGAUUAGAUACCCGGGUAGUC
rnacentral:rRNA from 1 species